rnacentral:rRNA from 1 species
GACGUUAGCUGCAGAAGAAGCACCGGCUAACUCCGUGCCAGCAGCCGCGGUAAUACGGAGGGUGCGAGCGUUAAUCGGAAUUACUGGGCGUAAAGCGCAUGCAGGUGGUUUGUUAAGUCAGAUGUGAAAGCCCGGGGCUCAACCUCGGAAUUGCAUUUGAAACUGGCAAACUAGAGUACUGUAGAGGGGGUAGAAUUUCAGGUGUAGCGGUGAAAUGCGUAGAGAUCUGAAGGAAUACCGGUGGCGAAGGCGGCCCCCUGGACAGAUACUGACACUCAGAUGCGAAAGACGUGGGGAGCAAACAGGAUUAGAUACCCUGGUAG